UUGUUGCAGCAGUUUUUUUACUUGUCCAUAUGGAAAAACUGAAGGUCUUAAUCUGCCCUCAAAUUCCAGAUCCUGCAAGGAUUUUUCCAAAAGAUUUACAGCAAUGGUUAAAAAACGACAUACACAUUGCCUACAAUAAGCCAGAGAAAGAGGAAAUCUGCCCUGUAUAUCUGAUGGAAAGCUCUCCAGCCACAAAAUGUGUGUAGGACUUUGUUUGACUGACUUGAGAAGCAUGGAGUUAUGUUCUCUUCUGCACCUCAGUCCAUUGUUGUGAAGUCUGUUUCAGAUGUAAGGAUAUGUGACUCUGCGUUAUCUGAGAAA